rnacentral:pre_miRNA from 1 species
UCUUCAUUGCUCUCACUCUCUCGCUGAUAAGAGUGACGAGAGAGUGUGCGAAAUGAAGAGA